CCGCCCGUUCCGUGGCCACGCCCACCGCGGCGGGGCUUGAGAGGCCGGGCGGGCGCUGCCUGCGGGGCUGCGCGCUGUGAGGGGAAGGCGCCGCGAGCUUUCGGAGACACCGGACAGAACCCGGAGACGCCGACUCUGACCGCGUGCAGUUUCCAGAGUGUUUCCAUCCUGUGGCGCCUCCACAGCCAUGCCAAUCUGCAUCCUAAAAAGUGGCCGGGACUUGACUCGCGCUCGUCUGGUCUGAAGGCGUUUUCAGAACUCACUAUUCUAAUUGUUAGGAAUCAUCUUCUCAUUUCCAGCUUAAUUUGAUGCACGGUUAAUAAACAUUUGUUCCUGUGCCAGCAUUGUAA